rnacentral:rRNA from 1 species
CCCUUAGAUGUUCUGGGCUGCACGCGCGCUACACUGUCGGAUUCAGCGAGUCAUAUCCUUAACCGAAAGGUUUGGGUAAUCUUUUGAAAGUCCGACGUGAUGGGGAUUGAUCAUUGCAAUUAUUGAUCAUGAACGAGGAAUUCCUAGUAAGCGCGAGUCAUCAGCUCGCGUUGAUUACGUCCCUGCCCUUUGUACACACCGCCCGUCGCUACUACCGAUUGAAUGGUUUAGUGAGAUCUUCGGAUUGGCGCCUACGCGGCUUCUCUGAGGCCACGCUGGAUGCCGAAAAGUUGCACAAACUGUAUCAUUUAGAGGAAGUAAAAGUCGUAACA